GAUUCAUUUUCCUGUAUUAUCAAUUUUCUAUGUUAGCCUCAAACGACAUUCACAAUGGGAAGAAAACAAUAAAUAUUUUGAAAAAGAGAAGAUUGGUGACAAAUAAAUGGACAUGUAUUCAUGACAAAAUAAAAAUCUUACUUAAAAUGUCCCCGAGGGUUCAGUUUUGCUGAAGUCUUAGAAGAGCUUAUCCAUGAACCAGAGCUGGAGUGUCUUGCUGGCAGCUCACCCGUGUAAGCAGGACACAAGCAGAACGGGGCAGUCAGAGCCAGGCAGCUUACCCAGAAACCAAGUCGUCUAGAAUGCAACCAAGCACGACAGUCCCUGCCAUGGUCAAUUGAUUGUGUCAACUUGAGAAGAGAAGCUCAACUAAAUUGGCUCAGCAAUUCCACACCCUAGGGAAGACUCACCCUCAGGGGUUUGUCACCUGGGUGGUACAAAAAUGAAGAAGGAGGGAUCUGCUUCUGUUUCUUCAGAGCAGCUCCAGUCUUUGCCUUCAUCUUGAACGUCAUCUUCUGGCCGCCAGCGCAGACCCUUCACCCUUCCAUGCAGACCCAUCGGCCCCCUGAUAAGGACACGCAGGGGACUCUGCAGUGAGCUCCAGAACUUCGACUGAAUCCCUUGCUCUCCAGUGUGCAGAUGCACCUUCUGGACUCUUCCACAUCCGACUCUGUGGGCGGCCAUUGCCAGACCAGACUAUUUGCACAACUCAUCAACUGAUCGCCAGACCCCGUUUUUAAUCAACAAAGCUCUCUUGGCCAGUAUUAGAAGCCAGAACAUCUACAAUCAGAACAUCUUAACCAAUGUCAGACGCCAGCCAUCCUCCGCCCCAUGGAACCCGGGUGUGGGUGAGCACUAGGCCCGUGCUCAGCUGCAUGCAUUAAUGGUAGACAGCAUGUGGGUGUAUGUACAUACUGUGAAAUGACCCAAGAUCUCACUAAAGGGACGCAGAUCUCCAGAAUCGAUUCAUCCCACAUAUUGGAAACUUUGUACCUUCUGACCAACGACUCCUAUCCCCCCACACCCAGGAUUCUACCCUUGUAUCCUGAAUCUGACUUGUGAGAAUUGCUACCGUGGUUUUUCAUUUAACCUUUCAAAGCUCCAAACGUUAGAGAGACUCUGUCAAAAUAAAAUCUCAGGGAACCA